rnacentral:lncRNA from 1 species
GGCACUAUGAAAACAUCACUAAGACACGAAGGAGCUGGUGGACUGAGAAGGUUUUGGGGAAUGUCUGUCUCAGAUCUCAUGAUCACACUACACCAUAGCACUGGUGCCGCCCCUGCUGAGUACCUUUCCUGGUUCCCUAACGCCACAAGAAUAAAGCUCCAAAUCCACAUCCUGGCAAUCGGCACCCCCACGGGUGACAGUCCAGCAUCCCACAGCCAAGACCCUACCAUGCCGGACCACUGGACGUCCCCUCCUCUGCCAACACCAUGCCACGC